rnacentral:rRNA from 1 species
GACGAACGCUGGCGGCGUGCUUAACACAUGCAAGUCGAACGAUGAAGCCGGAGCUUGCUCUGGUGAAUUAGUGGCGAACGGGUGAGUAACACGUGAGUAACCUGCCCUUGACUCUGGAAUAACUGCGGGAAACUGUAGCUAAUACCGGAUACGACCCUCGGAGGCAUCUCCUGGGGGUGGAAAGAAUUUCGGUCAAGGAUGGACUCGCGGCCUAUCAGCUAGUUGGUGAGGUAAAGGCUCACCAAGGCGACGACGGGUAGCCGGCCUGAGAGGGUGACCGGCCACACUGGGACUGAGACACGGCCAGACUCCUACGGGAGGCAGCAGUGGGGAAUAUUGCACAAUGGGCACAAGCCUGAUGCAGCAACGCCGCGUGAGGGAUGACGGCCUUCGGGUUGUAAACCUCUUUUAGCAGGGAAGAAGCGAAAGUGACGGUACCUGCAGAAAAAGCACCGGCUAACUACGUGCCAGCCGCCGCGGUAA